CCUACGGGGGGCAGCAGUGGGGGAUAUUGCACAAUGGGGGGAACCCUGAUGCAGCGACGCCGCGUGGGUGAAGAAGCGCCUCGGCGCGUAAAGCUCUGUCAGCAGGGAAGAAAAUGACGGUACCUGAAGAAGAAGCCCCGGCUAACUACGGGCCAGCAGCCGCGGUAAUACGGAGGGGGCAAGCGUUAUCCGGAUUUACUGGGGGUAAAGGGGGCGCAGACGGCGAUGCAAGCCAGGAGUGAAAGCCCGGGGCCCAACCCCGGGACUGCACUUGGAACUGGGUGGCUGCAGUGCAGGAGGGGCAGGCGGAAUUCGUGGUGUAGCGGUGAAAUGCGUAGAUAUCAGGAAGAACACCGAUGGCGAAGGCAGCCUGCUGGACUGCAACUGACGUUGAGGCCCGAAAGCGUGGGGAGCAAACAGGAUUAGAUACCCUGGUAGUC
rnacentral:rRNA from 1 species